UCUAAUUCAAUCAUAGAAUCAGUUUAGUUAACUCUACAUAAGUACAUAUAUAUUUAGUUUAGAAAUUUGGAUUGUGCUUGAUGUGCUAUACUAUUGACAGCCAGUCUUCGACAAUUCUUGAACCGACUUUUCAAAUGGAUCAGCUGCAUGACCCUGCAGAUUUUUUGCAGCCUAUGAGAAGUUCGAAAACACACGUAAAGAAUUGAAGAAACAGAGAGGUGAAGACCCAAAUGAGCCCCAAAUUCCCACUACUGCUAGGCAACGUCGACCUGAAAUGCCACGAGAAGAACGAGUUAUCAGCAUCAUGUCUACUCCAGUCAGCCUGAAAAUGAUGUGUUAUCUUCUCAAGAAGCACUGCAAGAUACUGUUAACAUAGUCAAGCAUGCUAUGGAGAUCAUUCAUCUUCUAACAGGUACAGUAUUACAUCUUUACUCAUGUUUCUGUUAUAACACGUUUGCAGUUUGCCAUGCUAAACAAGAGUUUUUAUUAACAGGCCAAAUGGGUUUGUGACAAAACGGGUUCUUUCUGGUACCACUUAGUUCAAACAUACUUAAAACAAAAGGUCGGUGGGACCAAAAUACAAACAGCCCUUCAAGUUUUUUCGAAAACGAACAGGGUUAAAUAUAAUGCGUUUUGACAUUUUAGUAUGUGUGUCGUUAUAAAUUCACGUUUCAACGUAAACAAUAUAAAUUCAUGUUUCGACAUAAGAUUUUUCCAGAAACGAGUCGGGUUCUUCAAACAGGUGCAUGCGAGUGUGCGUUUAGGAAUGUGAAGACUGUUGCUGAGCGUCUAGCUAAUAAGCUUAUCAAUGCUGGCAAGGGUUCUUC